GACAACGUGCCAGAGUGGUUAAUGGGUAUGACUCGAAUUUCACCGAUAUCAUAUGGCUUCGGUCGCACAGGUUCGAAUCCUGUCGUUGUCG
rnacentral:tRNA from 1 species